rnacentral:piRNA from 1 species
GGAUUUAGUAGUAAAUUAAGAAU